rfam:Triticum aestivum genome assembly, contig: Triticum_aestivum_CS42_TGACv1_scaffold_502067_6BL
AUCAUACUCCCUCCGUUCGAAAAUACUUGUCAUCAAAAUGGAUAGAAGAUGAUGUAUCUAGACGUGUUUUAGUUUUAGAUAUAUCUCUUUUUGUUCAUUUUAAUGACAAGUAUUUCCGGACGGAGGAAGUAUGUA